rnacentral:sRNA from 1 species
AGCAGCCGCGGUAAUUCCAGCUCCAAUAGCGUAUAUUAAAGUUGUUGCAGUUAAAAAGCUCGUAGUUGAAUUUCGGGGUUAGUAGAUCGGUCGUGCCACUGGUAUGUACUGGUCUCACUGAUUCCUCCUUCCUGAUGAACCGUAAUGCCAUUAAUUUGGUGUUGCGGGGAGACUGGACUGUUAACUUUGAAAAAUUGAGUGUUUAAAGCAGGCUAACGCUUGAAUACAUUAGCAUGGAAUAACGGAAUAGGACGUUCGAUCUUAUUUUGUUGGUUUCUAAGAUUGACGUAAUGAUUAAUAGGGAUAGUUGGGGGCAUUAGUAUUCAAUUGUCAGAGGUGAAAUUCUUGGAUUUAU